GGCAUAGCUUCAUGUAGUGGUUUGAAAUUUUGGACUACAACUCUAGAGAUCAGGGUUCAAUUCCCUGCUUUGCCA